AGUGAACGCUGGCGGUAGGCCUAAUACAUGCAAGUCGAACGGCAGCACAGUAAGAGUUUGCUCUUACGGGUGGCGAGUGGCGGAUGGGUGAGGAAUACAUCGGAAUCUACUUUUUCGUGGGGGAUAACGUAGGGAAACAUAUGCUAAUACCUCAUACGACCUACGGGUGAACGCAUAGGAGAUUCGGACCUUUCGCGCACGACUGAGCCGACGUCGGAUUAGUUAGUUGGGGGGGUAAAGGCCCACCAAGGCGACGAACCGUAGCUGGUCUGACAGGAGGAUCGGCCACACUGGAACGGAGACACGGUCAAGACUCCUACGGAGGGCGGCGGAGGGGAAUAUUGGACAUGGGGCGCAAGCCUGAUCCAGCAAUACCGCGGGGGGGAAGAAGGCCUUCGGGUGGUAAAGCCUGUUUGUUGGGAAAGAAGAGCAGCAGGGUAAAAAGCCGCUGUUCUGACGGUACCCAAAGAAUAAGCACCGGCUAACUACGUG
rnacentral:rRNA from 1 species